rnacentral:rRNA from 1 species
UUGAACGCUGGCGGCAUGCUUUACACAUGCAAGUCGAACGGCAGCACGGGAGCUUGCUCCUGGUGGCGAGUGGCGAACGGGUGAGUAAUACCUAGGAACAUGUCCCGCAAUGGGGGAUAACGCAGCGAAAGCUGUGCUAAUACCGCAUACGCCCUACGGGGGAAAGCGGGGGAUUCGCAAGGACCUCGCGUUAUUGGAGUGGCCUAGGCCUGAUUAGCUAGUUGGUGAGGUAAAGGCUCACCAAGGCGACGAUCAGUAGCUGGUCUGAGAGGAUGAUCAGCCACACUGGAACUGAGACACGGUCCAGACUCCUACGGGAGGCAGCAGUGGGGAAUUUUGGACAAUGGGGGAAACCCUGAUCCAGCCAUUCCGCGUGAGUGAAGAAGGCCUUCGGGUUGUAAAGCACUUUUCGGGAGGAUGAGGAAGGACGGUACUCCCGGAAUAAGUCUCGGCUAACUACGU